GCUAGUGUGGCAGAGACUGGUAAUUGCAAAAGCUCUAAGAUCUUUUUCCCAGGGGUUCAACUCCCCUCGCUAGCU
rnacentral:tRNA from 2 species